CAAGUUUUUAUGUUUAACAUACCAUUACUAAGCAAAAAUUUAUAUUCAAAAAAUUAAAUAUUUUUAUUCGUUAGUGGGAGAGUCUCUAAGUUUAGGUUCAACCUUGUUCUUACUCAGUGAGUAAAUUUGUACUAUUAUGUUACCAUAGAUUCAGCCUCGUGAAAUUUUAAAAAGGGGGAAAUAAAGUGCCAGCUCCUGCGGUCAAACUUUAUCUUUGAGUUAAGUGCAUCGUGUAGCAGUAAAAGAGAAAUUUUAGAAGGAGAUUCCCUACCCUGGUUGGGUGAAAUAAUACAGGGGGGAAGUUUUUUGGUUUCUAACUCUGAAGUCUGAAAAGGCUGUUUUUGGGACGGGGAUUAGAUACCCCCUUACUAAUGCUGACUAAUUUUAUGCGGGUAGUACGAGCUAAAAAGUUGCUUAAAAUCUAUAGAAGUUGGCGGUGCCCUAUAUCCGUUUAGGGGAACUUGGCGGUUAAUUCGAUGGUCCUCGAAAACUUUACCUGUUUUUUUCUUUGUAUACCGCCGUUGUCAAUAUUCUUUUCAUUAAUGUCGCUGAUAGUAAGGGAUAAACAUUUUAAGUUUUUAUUUGAAUUCAGGUAAACGUGCAGGUUUCAAACUGGGCUUAGCUGAGUUACAAUUAUUCAGUAUCGGAAGUAAGCGUUGAAACACGAUAUAGAAGGUGUACUUGUUAGUAACAAUUUUAAUUAAGGAAUUGUGAAUAAGGAUUUUUGGGGUGCGUACAAAUCGCCCGGUGUCCUGGAAUGUCCUCUUAAUGGGGUAAAUUUGGGUAAGCCGUAACAUAGUAAUGCUACCAGAAGGUGGUUUUAAGCCUAC
rnacentral:ncRNA from 1 species